GGAAGGGAUGUAUUUAUUAGAUAAAAAAUCAAUGUCUUCGGACUCUUUGAUGAUUCAUAAUAACUUUUCGAAUCGCAUGGCCUUGUGCUGGCGAUGGUUCAUUCAAAUUUCUGCCCUAUCAACUUUCGAUGGUAGGAUAGUGGCCUACCAUGGUUUCAACGGGUAACGGGGAAUAAGGGUUCGAUUCCGGAGAGGGAGCCUGAGAAACGGCUACCACAUCCAAGGAAGGCAGCAGGCGCGCAAAUUACCCAAUCCCGACACGGGGAGGUAGUGAGGAUAAAUAACGAUACAGGGCCCUUAUGGGUCUUGUAAUUGGAAUGAGUACAAUGUAAAUACCUUAACGAGGAACAAUUGGAGGGCAAGUCUGGUGCCAGCAGCCGCGGUAAUUCCAGCUCCAAAAGCGUAUAUUAAAAUUGUUGCAGUUAAAAAGCUCGUAGUUGAACCUUGCCCUUGGUUAGCCGGUCCGCCUUUUGGUGAGUACUGGAUCUAACCGAGCCUUUCCUUCUGGGUAACCUUUCUUUCGGGGAAGGCGAACCAGGACUUUUAC
rnacentral:rRNA from 1 species